AAAACGUCAGGUGCCCCAGGCUUGGGGCACAGCUGUCCAGCCCCACUCUCUGUGUGCAGGCCCGGCUGGCCCUGAGGUCCAGGGAGGAGAAUCUCCCUCCCUGGAGAAGAUGCUCUUUGGCCAAAUGCUACUGAGGGUGAAGAUGUCAACCUGCUUCCUGAAUCUGAAGAUUCAUGUCCAUCAAUGUUGGGAAAGUUUUAGUCAUGUUUUGUUACUGUCUUCUACCUGUUUCUGUCUACACCCCUAAUAAAAUUGGAUGCUUACCUCACAAUAUUCAAAAGUGAAUCUCAAAUGGAUUAAAGGCCCAAAUAAGAAAAAGCAAAGUGUUAAAACUCACAGGAGAAAAUAUAUGAGUAUUUAGCUACGAUACUAGGGGUAAGAAACAGUAUCUCAAGUGAGAUAUAAGAAGUUUAAACCAUAAAGGAAAAGAUUGAUAUGUCACAUCAAAAUUUAAGACCUCUGCGAAAAUAAAACAUAAUAAAAAGUAAAACAACAAACCACAGCCUGGGAAAAGAAAAGAGGUUUUCAAGAAUACCUAAUAAAAGUUUAAUAUUUGGGGCCGGGCGUGGUGGCUCAAGCCUGUAAUCCUAGCACUUUGGGAGGCUGAGGUGGGUGGGUCAUGAGGUCAGGAGUUCAAGACCAGCCUGGCCAACAUGGUGAAAACCUGUCUCUACUAAAAAUACAAAAAAUAGCUGGGCGUGGUGGCGAGUACCUAUAAUCCAAGCUACUUGGGAGGCUGAGGCAGGAGAAUCGUUUGAACCCAAGAAGGGGAGGCUGCAGUGAGCCAAGAUCACACCAUUGCACUCCAGCCUGGUUAACAGCGUGAGAUUCCAUCUCAAAAAAAAAGUUUAAUAUUUGGAAUAUAGAAAGAAUGUCUGCAAAUUCAAUAAGGAAAGGGAAAACAAUGGAAGAGAAGAAAAUGGACAAAGGAUUCAAACAGACAACUCAUGAAAAGGGAAAUCCACGCAGGGAGUGGUGGCUCACGCCUGUAAUCCCAGCACUUUGGGAGGCUGAGGAGGGCGGAUUACCUGAGGUCAGGAGUUCAAGACCAGCCUGGUCAACAUGGCGAAACCCCGUCUCUACUAAAAAUACAAAAAUUAGCUGGGCGUGGUGGUGCACACCUGCAAUCCCAGCUACUCGGGAAGCUGAGGCACGAGAAUCACUUGAACCUGGGAGAUGGAGGUUGCAGUGAGCCAAGACUGUGCCACUACACUCCAGCCUGGGUGACAGAGCAAGACUCUGUCAAAAAAAAAAAAAAAAAAAAGAAAGAAAGAAAAAAGAAAAGCGAAAUCCAAAUGACCAACAAAUGUGCCAUGCUGCUCAACAUCGCCACUAACCAGGGAAAUGCAAAAUAAAACAGUAACGAGAUACUAUUUUAUACUUAUCAGAAUGGUAAGAAUUAAAAUUUCCAAAAAUUUCUGCCCAGUCUAUAUGAAGAAAAAGGAGUGUUCACACAUGCCAUUAGAAGGAAAAUUUGGUACAACUAUGGAGUUAAAUUUGGAAUUUCUUAAAUUUUAAGAUGUCGAUAAUCCAGAAACUCUUUUCAGAGAUAUAAACCAUGGAAAAACUGUAACAUAUGUACACAAUGAUACAUGUACAAGAAUGUAGUUGCUGUGGCACAGUAUGAAGUGACACAAAAGUGAAAGCAACCUCACUGUCAAUAAAUAGGAGAAUGAGUAAAUACAUAAAUUGGACUAUAGGCAUAUAAUUCAGUCUUCAAAUAUACUACAGCCAAAAUUAGUAAAGUAGCUAUAUGUAUAUUAGCGUGAUUAAAUCCCAAAAGCAUGAUAUUGGAUUCUUAAAAAUGCAAAUGUUGAAUGAUCUGUAGAAGAUAAAGCUUUCAGUACAAUACUAUAUACAUCUUAUGGCUACACUCUGUGGAUAUGCAUUAAAACUAUAAAUUAACCUGUAAGAAUGAAUAACAACAAAGUCAAGAUAGCGGUUACUGCCAAGGAGAGACUAUGACACAUUGAAGACAAAAAUAUUCCCAGUUCUUCUCCUCAUCCUGUGUUCAUGCUCUUUUCAAUGUGACUUUUUAGCACUUCUCAUCAAAAUAAGGAGUCUAUUACCCCACCUCUUGAGUCUGGGAUGGCUGUGUGACCAGAUUUAAUCGACGACAGAAUGUAGUGGAAGUGAUGGUGUGUCAAUCCUCUUUUCCAGCUCUACUACCACUAUGUAAACACGUCUGGGCUAGCCUCACGGAGGAUGGCUCACAGUGAAGAAAAGUCCAGCUGUGCCAGCAGAGGUCAUUUAUACCAGCCUACAGCCAGCCAACCCCCAAACAUGUGACAACGCCUAGCCCAGAUAAUCAGAGUGGCCUACUCGACCCACCACUGACCAAAGACUCAAAAAUGAGCCCAGGCGAGACCAGAACUGCUGAGGUGACCACCCGUAGAAUCAUAAAGAAUAAAUGCUUAUUGUUUCAGCCAC
rnacentral:lncRNA from 1 species